GACGAACGCUGGCGGCGUGCCUAAUACAUGCAAGUUGAGCGCUGAAGGUUGGUACUUGUACCAACUGGAUGAGCAGCGAACGGGUGAGUAACGCGUGGGAAUUCGCCCUUGGACGGGGGGCCACCUUUUGGAACGGAAGGCAAUACCGCAAAAAAAAUUUAAAACAAAGUUUUAAAGUUGAAAAAAUCCAUUUCAUCAAUUAAAGGUUAAUCCGCGUUGUAUUAGCUAGUUGGUGGGGUAAAGGCUCAACAAGGCGAUGAUACAUAGCCGACCUGAGAGGGUGAUCGGCCAAAUUGGGACUGAGACACGGCCCAAACUCCUACGGGAGGCAGCAGUAGGGAAUCUUCGGCAAUGGACGAAAGUCUGACCGAGCAACGCCGCGUGAGUGAAGAAGGUUUUCGGAUCGUAAAACUCUGUUGGUAGAGAAGAACGUUGGUGAGAGUGGAAAGCUCAUCAAGUGACGGUAACUACCCAGAAAGGGACGGCUAACUACGUG
rnacentral:rRNA from 1 species